UUUCAAAAGUAAAACUUACUUUCUGAAUCAACUUCUUAAAAUGAGUAACAAAGUAUGUUUCCUUUUUCUGUUUGCCUCUAUGUGUUUUUGUUAUCAAUUUCCUUAGUUUUGUUCUCGCUGCUCAGAGCUUUGCUCUCACUACCAGAUUUGCACUUACACUGUCUGGCUUUCUCCUUUGCAAUCCCUGAGUUUUUGGUUGCAAUUCUGACACAACCCUUUCGGGUGGGCGGGACUUCUGAGAAGUCCUCUCCCAUAGGACAGUGGUUUCUCUUGAGUGACAGUUCAGUGACCCGGAAGUGAUGUAGCCUCCAAGACAUUUUUUUUCCACCUGGUCAAUAACAUGAAUUUUGAGCCCCAAACACGUUAUUUCUGCUGUCUGUGGUGUCUACUGAGGAUCUAAAGAACCUGUGGAACAUCAGAGACUUUGCAGCUAUUAGAGCUAACCUGUGUACUGCUUACUUGCUACAGAGGAAGCAGCAGAAAGCUGAGCUAACAGGCUGUUUUGAAGGUAAUCCUCGGGUGUCAGCAGGAGGAGGUGACCACCUGCAUAACGGAGCACCCUGGUUCUGAGCCAGUUGCACCUUUGUGCUGCUCUUUGGGGAGGCGAUGCUCAGCAGACACAUGCCUCCAUGUGGUCAGGUGGUGUUGGUGUGAUCUGGGAGGGCACACUCAUGUCGUCAUCUCCUUGUGCCGUCUCCAGGAUCCUGAUGGAGUUCUCUGUGCCUGUAAAGCAGGGGUAUUUACUUCUGGGCCUGGAGGGCCGGUAUCCAGCACGUUUCAGUUUUAACUCUGUUUCAACACACCUGAUUUCAGUCAGCAGAUAAUUAACAGGCUUCUGCAGAGCUGCGGCACAGGUAAUUCAACCCCUGAUUCAAGUGUGUUGGAGCAGGGAAACAACUAAAACGUGCUGGAUACCAGCCAUCCAGGACUAGAAUUGAAUACCCCUGCUAUAAAGCCUUCCUCCCUCCUCCGGACUUUAAACAUUAGUAUUUUAUUAUGGUUUACCUGAUUUAGUAAAUAAAACUCAAUUUAUAAAUGUCCUGUUUUGGUGCCUGUCCAUAAAAUCCUGCAUUAGACACCAAAAGCUGAAUGGAUGCCUUUCAUUCACUUUGACAUUCAAUGUAUUUUUAAAGAUACACUUGAAAUUAAUAUCAGCUGUUUAACAGAGUGGUGCAAAGUAUUUGCUGAUGUCAUGAUUUUUGCAACAACCUGAACUUCAUGCAGAGAAACUCAGGAGACAAAUGAGCUAAAAACUGUUUAUUAAAAUGUUUGACGGAUGACUGAAGAGGUAACAGCGGGAGAUCAGGAACCAGAAGCUUCUGCGAGGAAGAGCAGAGGUUAGU